rnacentral:rRNA from 1 species
GCAUAUUGGACAAUGGGCGGAAGCCUGCUCCAGCCAUGCCGCGUGUGUUAAGACGGCCUUUUGGUUGUAAAGCACUUUCAGCGAGGAGGAGGAGCUCUUGGUUAAUCCCCAAGAUGCUUGGACGUUCCUUGCCGCAUAUGCACCCGCUCACUCUGUGCCAGCUGCCGCGGUAAUACAGAGGGUGCAAGCGUUAAUCGGAUUUACUGGGAGGAAAGCGCGCGUAGGUGGCCAAUUAAGUCAAAUGUGAAAUCCCCGAGCUUAACUUGGGAAUUGCAUGCGAUACUGGUUGGCUAGAGUAUGGGAGAGGAUGGUAGAAUUCCAGGUGGAGCGGUGAAAUGCGUAGAGAUCUGGAGGAAUACCGAUGGCGAAGGCAGCCAUCUGGCCUAAUACUGACACUGAGGUGCGAAAGCAUGGGGAGCAAACA